rnacentral:rRNA from 1 species
CGACGUCGCGUGGAGGAUGAAAUCUUUCGGGAUGUAUACUCCUUUUUAACGGGGAAGGAAAAAAAAUAGACGGUACCCGUUGAAUAAGCCCCGGCUAACUACGUGC